CUCGGACCACUCCACCUGCUCCGGUCACCUUACUCCCUCCUUCACCUGCUCACCUGUUUCCACCUUCCUUUGUGAGCUCUGCAGUAUUUAACUGGCCCGUUUCCACUUAUUCCCUGUCAUAUUGUCAAAUGUGCCAGCGUUCCGGUCUUUGCAAUCUGUUACCUGGAAUCUGAAUCUUGUUAUCUAAUCUUUUGGACUUUGGAUUUCCUGAUGUGUUUGCCUGCUUGGACUGUCUUCCUGGUUUUGACCCUUGCCUGCCUCAUGCUUCCGUACAAUGACUGAUUCUUGAACUGUUGAGCUCAUGAUGCAGCAUCAACAUGACAUACCCUCUAACAGGAUAAACCAGGCUGUGUGACCGAGCUGCAGCUGGAGAGAUGAAGAGGGCUCAGGCUGAAAGGACUGUGACAUUAGGAGGAACAGGACAGGAUGGAGACAUGGCUUAGAAACCGUUUUGGACUAACAGGCUCUGAAGAUGGGCAGCCAUCACAGACAAACCCAUGGAUUCCUGUGUCUCGCAAGAAUUACAUUCUCACCAUCAUUCUCACAGGUCAAGUUAUCAGGUCUACUGUAGCUAGACAUGGUCGCCAUGGAAGCACACAAAGGUCCUGUCAUUGUCAUUGACCUCCCACUGUGGCACCAACUAUUUCCCAAGUCCCAGCCUUUAAUGACUCUGGAUGUGUUAAGAAAUGUAUUUAAAUAAAUCUGAAAUAGUAAUAAAUAAACAAAUCUUGGGAAAUCAGAUACUAAUGCAAUAAGUUGAAAUAACAAACACAGUAAGCAAAUACAGUAGAACAUUUAGCAACAUAAAGAGAAACAAAAAGCUGCUUACAAUAAUAUCCUAUUAAAAGCAAUGAAGCUAACUUAUUUUAGUAACAUAACUACAAAUCUAUAAAUAUAAUGUAUUAAAUAAAUGUAAUAUGAAUUCUUUUGUGUAUGGUUAUUUUAUUAUUUUGUUGAUGUUUUGUUUGAUGUGUUACACAGUUAGAUAACAUUGGUUGUAUUCUAUCUUUUUCUUAUAGUUAACAAAUCCCAUGAAAAAAAUCCAAAACCUGAUACAUUUUAUUCCUUCUUGCAACAGGACUUUUUUUUAUUCAAUCCCCCCAUACACUGUUCUGCUGCCGUAAAUAUUCACUAUAGCACCAGUUGUGGAUUAAUCCACAGCUGAAAAAUAGUCCCCAACAAACUAUUUACUCCUACUGGAUUCAUACUCUGUUGCAGCCCCUCGGCAGAAAUGAAGAACUGAAUUUGUCAUGUUUCCUUUCAUUUGUUACACUUGAUGGAUGCUGUACUUUUAUCUU